AGGACGAACGCUGGCGGCGUGCUUAACACAUGCAAGUCGAGCGGAAAGGCCCUUCGGGGUACUCGAGCGGCGAACGGGUGAGUAACACGUGAGUAAUCUGCCCCUAGCUCUGGGAUAGCUCCGGGAAACCGGGAUUAAUACCGGAUACGACCACCUUAGACAUCUUUUGUGGUGGAAAGAAUUUCGGCUAGGGAUGAGCUCGCGGCCUAUCAGCUUGUUGGGUGGGUAACGGCCUACCAAGGCGACGACGGGUA
rnacentral:rRNA from 1 species